GGGAUGUUGUUAUGCACUGGAUUUAUAGAGAGGUUUGGUGGUGAGCCAAACCUUUU
rnacentral:ncRNA from 14 species